CGUGUGUGUGUGUGUGUGUGUGUGUGUGUGUGUGUGUGUGUGUGUUGGACAGUAGUGUGGAGGGAUGCGGUUGUAGGCAAACACGCCAAACGGCAGGAAUUGUGUGUGUGUGUGUGUGUGUGUGUGUGUGUGUGUGUGUGUGUGUGUGUGUGUGUGUGUGUGUGUGUGUGUGUGUGUGUGUGUGUGUGUGUGUGUGUGUG